UUUGCCCCCUAUAUUAGUAACAAUAAUAUCGGCCUGGCCACUCAUUGCUUGCCAGUUGGUACUACUCGCAAGAACUAUCUCCGGCGCCGGCGACCCAUCAAGCCAUCAAGAAAUCCAGACCAAUCAGUUCGUUGGCACGCACGAUGGAUGUACGUGUUGAGGUGAUCACAGCGAAGUCGGGAAGUCGACGGCUCCAGUGCAGAGACGAGUUGUGGUCGGCAGCGGACGAGCGGCUCGACAAUAGAGAUGAGUGGUGGUCGGCGACUCGACACGUUCGGCGCAACAUGCACAUCAGCGACGGCGAGGUGCCGAUGAUUAUAGUAUAUACGGAUGUGAAAAAACAUGGAAGAUUAGCAUGUGCUUAACAUCUAAAAUCACGUGUUUGAACUGGUAGGUUAUUAGUACUCUUCACUUAUUAUUGUAGAUGACAACAAAGAUUACAAAAAAGUAUUUGUUUGAUGA